AGCGAACGCUGGCGGCAGGCUUAACACAUGCAAGUCGAACGGGCAUCUUCGGAUGUCAGUGGCAGACGGGUGAGUAACACGUGGGAACGUACCCUUCGGUUCGGAAUAACUCAGGGAAACUUGAGCUAAUACCGGAUACGCCCUUUUGGGGAAAGGUUUACUGCCGAAGGAUCGGCCCGCGUCUGAUUAGCUUGUUGGUGGGGUAACGGCCUACCAAGGCGACGAUCAGUAGCUGGUCUGAGAGGAUGAUCAGCCACACUGGGACUGAGACACGGCCCAGACUCCUACGGGAGGCAGCAGUGGGGAAUAUUGGACAAUGGGCGCAAGCCUGAUCCAGCCAUGCCGCGUGAGUGAUGAAGGCCUUAGGGUUGUAAAGCUCUUUUGGCCGGGACGAUAAUGACGGUACCGGAAGAAUAAGCCCCGGCUAACUUCGU
rnacentral:rRNA from 1 species